UUGGGUUUAAGGGUCCGUAGGCGGAUCUGUAAGUCAGUGGUGAAAUCUCACAGCUUAACUGUGAAACUGCCAUUGAUACUGCAGGCCUUGAGUGUUAUUGAAGUAGCUGGAAUAAGUAGUGUAGCGGUGAAAUGCAUAGAUAUUACUUAGAACACCAAUUGCGAAGGCAGGUUACUAAGCAACAACUGACGCUGAUGGACGAAAGCGUGGGGAGCGAACAGGAUUAGAUACCCUGGUAGUCCACGCCGUAAACGAUGCUAACUCGUUUUUGGGAUGUAAGUUUCAGAGACUAAGCGAAAGUGAUAAGUUAGCCACCUGGGGAGUACGAACGCAAGUUUGAAACUCAAAGGAAUUGACGGGGGCCCGCACAAGCGGUGGAUUAUGUGGUUUAAUUCGAUGAUACGCGAGGAACCUUACCAAGGCUUAAAUGGGAAAUGACAGGCUUAGAAAUAGGCUUUUCUUCGGACAUUUUUCAAGGUGCUGCAUGGUUGUCGUCAGCUCGUGCCGUGAGGUGUUAGGUUAAGUCCUGCAACGAGCGCAACCCCUGUCACUAGUUGCCAUCAUUAAGUUGGGGACUCUAGUGAGACUGCCUACGCAAGUAGAGAGGAAGGUGGGGAUGACGUCAAAU
rnacentral:rRNA from 1 species